GACGAACGCUGGCGGCGUGCCUAAUACAUGCAAGUAGAACGCUGAAGGAGGAGCUUGCUUCUCCGGAUGAGUUGCGAACGGGUGAGUAACGCGUAGGUAACCUGCCUGGUAGCGGGGGAUAACUCUUGGAAACGAUAGCUAAUACCGCAUAAGAGUAGAUGUCGCAUGACAUUUGCUUAAAAGGUACAACUGCACCACUACCAGAUGGACCUGCGUUGUAUUAGCUAGUUGGUGAAGGAACGGCUCCCCAAGGCAACGAUACAUAGCCCACCUGCGAGGGUGAACGGCCACACUGGGACUGGGAAACGGCCCAGACUCCUAAGGGAGGGAGCAGUAGGGAAACUUUGGGAAAGGGCGGAAGGCUGAACGAGCAACGCCGGGGGAGUGAAGAAGGGUUUCGGAUCGGAAAGCUCCGUUGUAAGAGAAGAAAGAGAGGGGGAGGGGAAAGUGCACGCUGUGACGGUACCUAACCAGAAAGCGACGGCUAACUACGUG
rnacentral:rRNA from 1 species